rnacentral:rRNA from 1 species
GAUGAACGCUAGCUACAGGCUUAACACAUGCAAGUCGAGGGGCAGCACAGUGUAGCAAUACAUGGGUGGCGACCGGCGCACGGGUGCGUAACGCGUAUCCAACCUUCCCGUUACUCUUGGAUAGCCUUCCGAAAGGGAGAUUAAUACAAGAUGGUAUUCAAAUUCCGCAUGUUAUUUGAAUUAAAGAUUUAUCGGUAACGGAUGGGGAUGCGUGACAUUAGGUAGAUGGCGGGGUAACGGCCCACCAUGCCCACGAUGUCUAGGGGUUCUGAGAGGAAGGUCCCCCACACUGGAACUGAGACACGGUCCAGACUCCUACGGGAGGCAGCAGUGAGGAAUAUUGGUCAAUGGUCGGAAGACUGAACCAGCCAAGUAGCGUGAAGGAUGAAGGUUCUAUGGAUUGUAAACUUCUUUUAUACGGGAAUAAAACGUCCCACGUGUGGGAUUUUGUAUGUACCGUAUGAAUAAGCAUCGGCUAACUCCGUG